CUGUGCAGGCCUGACUAGCUUGCGGGGUGCUAAAGAGGGCCUUGAAAGGGGUCUCUCUUGCAUAUCCUACAAGCAAGUAGGGAGAUCUGAAACAAUGGUGUCCUUACUAAGGGUCAUGCACCGGUCAGGGUAUGCGUGCUUCUUGCCUAGAAAUACACCUUGAGAUUAGAUCUGGUAUUUGCCAUAAACGUCAUGUUCCUCAGAUGUUUAUGAGCCAUUGACGUGAGAGCAGGGAACAAAGAAAUACCAAGGCCACCUGUAUUGUUUUUGAAAAAGCUUGUUUGUUACAUUCCUUCACGUAGACCUCAGCUAAAAGGAUAUAAAUAAGAUUGUGACCAGAAUAAACUUGCUAGUGAGCAGCAUCCCUGCUCUUAGCCCCCUCGAUCCCCGCUUUUCUCUGUCUUUAUUUCCCAGCGGUCUUCUACUUUCAGGUUACCUUUGUUCUCGUCGGAGCCGGCCUCCAACAAGUGGCGCCCGAACAGGGACCUGAAAACACUGAAGGCUGCCCGAACCACAGGAAAGACGCUGAUAGCCCUCGCUGGUUACCGGAGCGGUGUGUCCGCCAUGCCCAAAAGUCGGGUGACUCGACUACGCAGGAAAAUGAUGAGGCUGAGGAUAACGCCUCGGCGCAAGAAUGAGUCUGAUCGGAAGACCCUCACACUACACUCCCUGGCACAUCUCUGCUCCAUAUUCUGGAUCAUCUUUUUUCCUUUUGUGCCGGUGUCGGGAGACAACUAUUGGGCUUAUGUCCCUAACCCACCUUUGCUGCACCCAGUCACCUGGGAGGAUGAUCGUGUUCCAAUAUAUACCAACAACACUUUAUUCAAAAUCUUAAAAUGCAGUUCCCGACUUUGCAACAGUUAAGCACUCAUUUGAUCUACUUAGGAAUAUUGGCUCUUGGUGUAAUCCUUGUAUCUCUUGCUCUCAUCACUGGCUGUAAAAUUGUCUUGACCCAUUUCACAAAAUUAUUUGUUACUGUUAAAAAAUUACAAUUAUACCAAGAUAAGGACAAAGAUUAUAUGCAUUUAUAAAAUAAAAAAGGGGGAAUUGUGGGGACCUGUGCAGGCCUGACUAGCUUGCGGGGUGCUAAAGAGGGCCUUGAAAGGGGUCUCUCUUGCAUAUCCUACAAGCAAGUAGGGAGAUCUGAAACAAUGGUGUCCUUACUAAGGGUCAUGCACCGGUCAGGGUAUGCGUGCUUCUUGCCUAGAAAUACACCUUGAGAUUAGAUCUGGUAUUUGCCAUAAACGUCAUGUUCCUCAGAUGUUUAUGAGCCAUUGACGUGAGAGCAGGGAACAAAGAAAUACCAAGGCCACCUGUAUUGUUUUUGAAAAAGCUUGUUUGUUACAUUCCUUCACGUAGACCUCAGCUAAAAGGAUAUAAAUAAGAUUGUGACCAGAAUAAACUUGCUAGUGAGCAGCAUCCCUGCUCUUAGCCCCCUCGA